rnacentral:tRNA from 1 species
UCCCUGGUGGCUUAGCUGGUAAAGAAUCUGCCUGCAAUGCAGGAGACCCUGGUUCUAUAUCUAGGUUGGGAAG